rnacentral:rRNA from 1 species
GAUGAACGCUGGCGGCGUGCCUAAUACAUGCAAGUCGAGCGAACAGACGAGGAGCUUGCUCCUCUGACGUUAGCGGCGGACGGGUGAGUAACACGUGGAUAACCUACCUAUAAGACUGGGAUAACUUCGGGAAACCGGAGCUAAUACCGGAUAAUAUAUUGAACCGCAUGGUUCAAUAGUGAAAGACGGUUUUGCUGUUACUUAUAGAUGGAUCCGCGCCGCAUUAGCUAGUUGGUAAGGUAACGGCUUACCAAGGCAACGAUGCGUAGCCGACCUGAGAGGGUGAUCGGCCACACUGGAACUGAGACACGGUCCAGACUCCUACGGGAGGCAGCAGUGGGGAAUCUUCCGCAAUGGGCGAAAGCCUGACGGAGCAACGCCGCGUGAGUGAUGAAGGUCUUCGGGUCGUAAAGCUCUGUUAUUAGGGAAGAACAAAUGUGUAAGUAACUAUGCACGUCUUGACGGUACCUAAUCAGAAAGCCACGGCUAACUACGUG